AAGAUCACAAGUAGUAUCAGCUAAAGCUCGAUAUUCAGCCUCUGUACUGCUGCGACUAACAACACCUUGCUUCUUAGACUUCCAAGAUACGAUAGAGCCACCAGGAGACACAAUAGGUGAAGAGAUAACCUGAAAUGGGAAAGAUGGCCGACUUGGAGGCAUAUAUAAAGAAGAGCCUAGGCAAGGAGUAAGGAAACGAUUCUUCCGAGCUCUUAGAACUCUCUACACUUAGAAACCUUAAGUUUUAUUCUCGACAAAUUCGGUUUCUAUGACUUGCACUCAUACUAGACGAACUCGCCCAUGCAGUUCGAGCUCUUGUUCAAUUCUUUCUAAUUGAACUACAUUCGCCUUGAUCCUCGAAAGGGGUACGUAGGCAGCCUUUCAUAAGUUCUAGUCCGAAAUCCUUUAAACCUUUUUUGUCUUUUUCGUCUAUUUCUAAGUGAAUUGCGGCCACAUAGAUUUUUCUCCACAUAGGUGGUAACGCUAGCAAACUUAGUCUCGCUUUACUGUUUGUGUUAUAUGAUUUUCUUUGUAAUCCCGUUUUCAGAAAAGCUUCAAGUAUGAUUUUGUCUCUGAAACGCUCAUACGCAAAUUCGAAAUAAAUAUCUCUUGUUUUCUAAA
rnacentral:misc_RNA from 1 species